rnacentral:rRNA from 1 species
UGGCGGCAUGCUUAACACAUGCAAGUCGAACGGCAGCAUGUACUUUCUUCGGAUAGUAUGAUGGCGAGUGGCGGACGGGCGAGUAACGCGUAGGAAUCUACCUAAUAGUGGGGGACAACCUGGGGAAACCUAGGCUAAUACCGCAUAAUCUCUUAGGAGCAAAGCUGGGGACCUUUUGGCCUGGCGCUGUUAGAUGAGCCUGCGUAAGAUUAGCUAGUUGGUAAGGUAAUGGCUUACCAAGGCGACGAUCUUUAGCUGGUUUGAGAGGAUGAUCAGCCACACUGGGACUGAGACACGGCCCAGACUCCUACGGGAGGCAGCAGUGGGGAAUAUUGGACAAUGGGCGAAAGCCUGAUCCAGCAAUGCCGCGUGUGCGAUGAAGGCCUUCGGGUCGUAAAGCACUUUCAAUGGGGAGGAAAACCACAGAAUUAAUACCUCUGUGGCUUGACGUUAUCCAUACAAGAAGCACCGGCUAACUCUGUGCCAGCAGCCGCGGUAAUACAGAGGGUGCAAGCGUUAAUCGGAGUUACUGGGCGUAAAGCGCACG